GGCACAGUGGCGGAGUGGUUAACGCGCAGGCCUGCUAGAGAAUCCCUUCGUGGAUAUCUCAGGAAAGCCUGUUCCUUCGGGAGCGUCGGUUCGAAUCCGAUCUGUGUCG